rnacentral:rRNA from 1 species
CCUACGGGAGGCAGCAGUAGGGAAUCUUCCACAAUGGACGAAAGUCUGAUGGAGCAAUGCCGCGUGAGCGAAGAAGGUUUUCGGAUCGUAAAGCUCUGUUGUAAGGGAAGAACACGUACGGGAGUAAACUGCCCGUGCCAUGACGGUACCUAUAGAAGCC